ACGCUUGACACCUACGGGAGGAGCAGUGAGGAAUAUUGGUCAAUGGACGCAAGUCUGAACCAGCCAUGCCGCGUGCAGGAUGACGGCUCUAUGAGUUGUAAACUGCUUUUGUACGAGGGUAAACGCAGAUACGUGUAUCUGUCUGAAAGUAUCGUACGAAUAAGGAUCGGCUAACUCCGUACCAGCAGCCGCGGUAAUCUGAGCGGGCUGGCAAGGC
rnacentral:rRNA from 1 species